rnacentral:rRNA from 1 species
UUAAGCGACUAAGCGUACACGGUGGAUGCCCUGGCAGUCAGAGGCGAUGAAGGACGUGCUAAUCUGCGAUAAGCGUCGGUAAGGUGAUAUGAACCGUUAUAACCGGCGAUUUCCGAAUGGGGAAACCCAGUGUGAUUCGUCACACUAUCGUUAAGUGAAUACAUAGCUUAACGAAGCGAACCGGGGGAACUGAAACAUCUAAGUACCCCGAGGAAAAGAAAUCAACCGAGAUUCCCCCAGUAGCGGCGAGCGAACGGGGAGCAGCCCAGAGUCUGAAUCAGCGCGUGUGUUAGUGGAACGGUCUGGAAAGUCCGGCGGUACAGGGUGAUAGCCCCGUACACUAAAAUGCACACGUUGUGAACUCGAAGAGUAGGGCGGGACACGUGGUAUCCUGUCUGAAUAUGGGGGGACCAUCCUCCAAGGCUAAAUACUCCUGACUGACCGAUAGUGAACCAGUACCGUGAGGGAAAGGCGAAAAGAACCCCGGCGAGGGGAGUGAAAAAGAACCUGAAACCGUGUACGUACAAGCAGUGGGAGCCUACUUGUUAGGUGACUGCGUACCUUUUGUAUAAUGGGUCAGCGACUUAUAUUCUGUAGCAAGGUUAACCGUAUAGGGGAGCCGCAGGGAAACCGAGUCUUAACUGGGCGUUAAGUUGCAGGGUAUAGACCCGAAACCCGGUGAUCUAGCCAUGGGCAGGUUGAAGGUUGGGUAACACUAACUGGAGGACCGAACCGACUAAUGUUGAAAAAUUAGCGGAUGACUUGUGGCUGGGGGUGAAAGGCCAAUCAAACCGGGAGAUAGCUGGUUCUCCCCGAAAGCUAUUUAGGUAGCGCCUCGUGAACUCAUCUUCGGGGGUAGAGCACUGUUUCGGCUAGGGGGUCAUCCCGACUUACCAACCCGAUGCAAACUACGAAUACCGAAGAAUGUUAUCACGGGAGACACACGGCGGGUGCUAACGUCCGUCGUGAAGAGGGAAACAACCCAGACCGCCAGCUAAGGUCCCAAAGUCAUGGUUAAGUGGGAAACGAUGUGGGAAGGCACAGACAGCCAGGAUGUUGGCUUAGAAGCAGCCAUCAUUUAAAGAAAGCGUAAUAGCUCACUGGUCGAGUCGGCCUGCGCGGAAGAUGUAACGGGGCUAAACCAUGCACCGAAGCUGCGGCAGCGACACUAUGUGUUGUUGGGUAGGGGAGCGUUCUGUAAGCCGUUGAAGGUGGCCUGUGAGGGUUGCUGGAGGUAUCAGAAGUGCGAAUGCUGACAUAAGUAACGAUAAAGCGGGUGAAAAGCCCGCUCGCCGGAAGACCAAGGGUUCCUGUCCAACGUUAAUCGGGGCAGGGUGAGUCGACCCCUAAGGCGAGGCCGAAAGGCGUAGUCGAUGGGAAACAGGUUAAUAUUCCUGUACUCGGUGUUACUGCGAAGGGGGGACGGAGAAGGCUAUGUUAGCCGGGCGACGGUU